rnacentral:lncRNA from 10 species
CAAAACCACACAUUGUAAAAUCAACACUAUUGACAGUUAUGGGUAAUUGAAUGGCAAAUGGGGUUUCCAACUGGGUGCUCCAACUGGGACUCUUAAACAAGGCUUGACAAAUUCUGCUUUGUCAGGUGUCAUAAAAUAUGGUUCAGAACGCAUCUGUAGUGUCAAGGGAAAAUCACUUAUGCCAUUCCCUGUAUUACCACUUCUGACUCUUGUCCGUCCUGAAGUAGGAAUUCACAUGGCUUAUGAUGGAGUCUUUGUUUUAGGAAACACGACACAAACGCUAAGACUCUUCAGAUAUCAUCACUGAAUCUUUAAGUUCAAUCCAGUUGCUAGAUUUGGCCUGUAACAUUUGGCUCAGGGAUUCCUGGUGGCCAAAGGAAAACAUCACAAGAGUCACAUUAUCUGUAAGAUAGGAACAGACUAGUUGUUUUAAAGAAAACUUCUCUUAAAACUCAAAGCAGAAAGAUGUCAGAAUGGGAUUUAAGUAAUUUCUGCCUUCAGCCUAGGGAAUUGGCUUGUAUGGCAGUUUUUUCCACUCCUUUUGUGGUAUCUAUAUAGAGAUAGGAUAUAUGACUCACUUGGCAAAGGUCAGGAGUCUGAACAUUUGGGUAAUGAGUACCUUGUCCUAGGAAGAUAAACUGAGCACAGUGUCCCUAGGACUUGCACGAUCGAAGAAUCCCCUUGGUUGGGGCUUGGACCUUUGCCAGCUCAUCUGCAAAAUCUUUUAAGUUGUCCUGAUCAGCCAAAGCUGCUAUCACCUGAAUCUUGGUUGUUUUUACUAUUAAUAAUAUAGAAAUAUUUUGCCAAGAAAAUCUUUUGUCUUUUUGUGGGACAGGUUUCAGAAAUGGUCCACAGUCUCUGUAGAUACCUCUAGUAAUUGGUCUCAGAACUCAUUGCCUUUAAUCAGCCCUGGGGAUCAGUGGGUGACAGAUCAGUGCCUUUAUGAAAUGGAGUUACUAGGAAUGGUGUGUCAUUGCCUGACGUGCCUCCUUAUCUGCCAUAAUGGAGUUCCUUAUAUAUUUCCUGCUUGUCUUGUAUGCCUUUGGAUCUAGUAAGGAAAUAAGGAGAGGUUGAGAAAAUACAGAGUAAAGCUUUAGCAGGUAUCUUCCCGUUAAGUGACAGGCAGUGAUUUGUGCUUCUUUGGUUUUUAUCAUCGGUCUAAUGUGAGUCAUUCUUGUGCGUCAGGGUUGGAUCUUUUUGCCUUUCCUUUCUCUUCUCCUGUUGACUUGACCUGGUUUCUUUAGUCUGAGAAAUUGGACGUAUUUUUCUUUCUUUGAGGAAAGGGCUAGUGGAUAAAGCCCUCCCAUAGAGAGUGUAACGUGGGUAAUAUUUGGGUGCCCUUUCAGGGUUAGGUCCCACUUUGUUCAAGGAAUGCUGUAUGCAUGGGUAGAUUAUUAAUAAGAUGGUGGCCCCAGUAAAUGUUGGUGUAUGUGUGAGACUUGGUGGGAAGAGCUGCUUGCUGUAAAUAGUGGCUCCUCUGCUCAGCAGUUUUGUGAAGUCAGUUGACUUAUUCUUUAAUUUCAUCCCACCACCCAACAUAAAUUUUUUGGUUCAUU